rnacentral:rRNA from 1 species
UACGUAGAAGACUAGUGUUAUUCAUCUUUAGUAGGUUUAAAGGGUACCUAGACGGUAUAAUUAGUCUAAAAUAAGAUACGGUUAUACUGGAGUUAUAUAUGAGGAGGUGAGUAUUUAUGGAGUAGAGUUGAAAUUCGAUCAUCCCAUGACGACUGGUAUCGGCGAAAGCAACCUUUUAUCUAAUAACUGACGUUGAGGGACGAAGGCUCGGGUAACGAACAGG